rnacentral:hammerhead_ribozyme from 1 species
GUACUGCUGAUGAGUCCAAGAUUAGGACGAAGCAGCUGUCCAGUGC